rnacentral:rRNA from 1 species
GACGAACCGAGCGAACGUUAUUCGGAAUCACUGGGCUUAAAGGGCGCGUAGGCGGACUGCCAAGUCAGGGGUGAAAGCCCCCGGCUCAACCGGGGAAGUGCCUUUGAUACUGGCGGUCUUGAGGGAGGUAGGGGCGGGCGGAACUUCCGGUGGAGCGGUGAAAUGCGUAGAUAUCGGAAGGAACACCGGUGGCGAAAGCGGCGCGCUGGACCUCUUCUGACGCUGAGGCGCGAAAGCCAGGGGAGCGAACGGG